CAUGCAAGUCGAGGGGCAGCAUGGUCUUAGCUUGCUAAGGCCGAUGGCGACCGGCGCACGGGUGAGUAACACGUAUCCAACCUGCCGUCUACUCUUGGACAGCCUUCUGAAAGGAAGAUUAAUACAAGAUGGCAUCAUGAGUCCGCAUGUUCACAUGAUUAAAGGUAUUCCGGUAGACGAUGGGGAUGCGUUCCAUUAGAUAGUAGGCGGGGUAACGGCCCACCUAGUCUUCGAUGGAUAGGGGUUCUGAGAGGAAGGUCCCCCACAUUGGAACUGAGACACGGUCCAAACUCCUACGGGAGGCAGCAGUGAGGAAUAUUGGUCAAUGGGCGCAGGCCUGAACCAGCCAAGUAGCGUGAAGGAUGACUGCCCUAUGGGUUGUAAACUUCUUUUAUAAAGGAAUAAAGUCGGGUAUGUAUACCCGUUUGCAUGUACUUUAUGAAUAAGGAUCGGCUAACUCCGUGCCAGCAGCCGCGGUAAUACGGAGGAUCCGAGCGUUAUCCGGAUUUAUUGGGUUUAAAGGGAGCGUAGAUGGAUGUUUAAGUCAGUUGUGAAAGUUUGCGGCUCAACCGUAGAAUUGCAGUUGAUACUGGAUAUCUUGAGUGCAGUUGAGGCAGGCGGAAUUCGUGGUGUAGCGGUGAAAUGCUUAGAUAUCACGAAGAACUCCGAUUGCGAAGGCAGCUUGCUAAACUGUAACUGACGUUCAUGCUCGAAAGUGUGGGUAUCAAACAGGAUUAGAUACCCUGGUAGUCCACACGGUAAACGAUGAAUACUCGCUGUUUGCGAUAUACGGCAAGCGGCCAAGCGAAAGCGUUAAGUAUUCCACCUGGGGAGUACGCCGGCAACGGUGAAACUCAAAGGAAUUGACGGGGGCCCGCACAAGCGGA
rnacentral:rRNA from 1 species